UACAGAGGGGGCAAGCGUUGUUCGGAAUUACUGGGCGUAAAGGGCGCGUAGGCGGCCUGUUAAGUCGAACGUGAAAUCCCCGGGCUCAACCCGGGAACUGCGUCCGAUACUGGCAGGCUUGAAUCCGGGAGAGGGAUGUGGAAUUCCAGGUGUAGCGGUGAAAUGCGUAGAUAUCUGGAGGAACACCGGUGGCGAAGGCGGCUCACUGGGCUGACCUUGACGCUGAGGCGCGAAGGCGUGGGGAGCGAACGGG
rnacentral:rRNA from 1 species